rnacentral:rRNA from 1 species
AUGGAAACCGAAGACAUCGACAUCAACCUCGCGUAUCCGGCCUCUCCAGGUUGGACCAAGAAGUCGGAGCGGAUCAAGUGUCUGGCUCUGUUGCCCGAAAACCUAGUUACUCCUCAGCUGGAGAAGAUGCUAGUUCCGGCGCCUUAUCAGCCACCGGAGAAGAAGGCCAAGAAGAAGAGCAAGGGGCCCAAGAACGGGCCCUGCUGCAAGGCCCCUCCGGCUACAGUGUCCGGAGAGGUCGAGCCCGUCUCCUCUUGCGAGGAAGAUGAAGACGAAGAAGAGGAGGAGGAGGAUGAGGAGGAGGUGGAGAGCGACUCCCCUCUCAGGACGAGGAGGGGGAAAGGACAGCCCCUGGGGCCUAGAACGGGUGACACCGAAGAAAGGGCGAGUGGUCCUCUCGGACAGUUCGGACACAGAGUCCAAACACAGUCUGGGGCGGGCCCAAAGGGAGAAGCCCCUGGUCGAGACCCCUACACGCGAGAUCCCGAUCCCCUCUUCUUCGACGGGGAACUCUUUAGCCACCGGGAAGGCAGAGAGUGA